AUUUAAACAAAUUACUUUUGAUUGAAUUUAAGCGAAUUUUAAAUAAACGGCCGUGAUCCGAGAAGGGUCGAUAAAGAAGAUUUGGUUAGAGAAUUGGAAGAAGAACGAGGUGAAAAUAUGGGUCUGCGGGUCGUCGAAUACCCAGUGACUUCCAUCGAAGUCUGAAUCACGAGUAACGCUUUGCCAAUUCUCUUCUUCUUCGCGAUCCGCGAAGUAUUUUCCGGUCGUUGACCGUCGCCGACAGUAAACGACCCUCGAGGUCUUCUGGAUGGAGAGCGCAAUGAGGAAAAACUGGGCGAACAAGGGGCGAACAGAUAAAAACUCACUCCGACCGGUGAAAUAAUCAGAGCCUCGGUUUCUCCUUCGAUCUUCUUCGAAAUUUUCGUUCCGCUCGCAGCACACGCAACUAGUCGUAGUAUAGUUCGAUUAAUUUCUUUCACGAAAAUUAAUUCGUCGAAAUAUGGAUAUAAUCGCGAAAUCCAACGAGUUGAGAAACGCUGAUCAUAUAGAUCAAAGUAACGUUGCGUAUUUAUUUCUUUUCUCAAGUUCGACGAACUCGAUAGGUUGAAAAGAAUUCGAUAGCGUGGACAAUCUGAAUCGCGUAUUUGCAACGCUCAAAAUCUAUUGCCUAGUGACACGAUGGUUUGACUCGGUUUCGGCGCAGAAUCCGUUCCGCAAGCGUGCGCGCAUGCUCGUUCCUCCUGCUGACAGGCUUGGAAAAAUAGAGAAAAGAAUCGAAACUUUACCGUUAUGUUCACCCAACUCGCGCCAUAAUUACAGCAUGGAGUUUGCUACUUGCGGGAGAGGAAAGUGUAUGUGUGUAGGAAAACGUGUACACGCUUCAACGGCAAAUCUUUUAAGCUUUUUUUUAGACGUGUAAUUACUCGAAAUCGAGUCACGAUAUCCAUGAGAGAUGUUCGAUCAGUGAUUAUAUAGAUGCCAAUUUGCUCUUGUGACAAUUAUUAUCUUCGUGCGAACACGCAGUGCAUCGUAUUAGGUUAGAUUUCAAGUAGUCAUUUGCCUGUCGAUUUCACUCUUUCGAAUCAGUGACUGAUAAAAUGGAUGAUAAUAAGGGAAGAAUAUACGUUUAAACAUCUCGUGUAGCAUGUAUAUACUUCAGCUCAGGUGUGCAUGAAGAUUCACGGAGGAAUACUUUCAUUCAAGUUUUAUUAACAGAGUCGAUGCAAGAAGUAAUUAAACCGGUCUUGUGUACUUUAUCGCGAAUUAUAUUAGUAAUAGUGAUGGAGUCGCUAUCUUACAGCCAUUAAGAGGUAUGUAGCUAUAUGUAAUUCAUUCUUCGAUCUCUGUUUAAGAAUCACUCGAUAUCUGUUGCUUUAUAGUUCAAUUUAUUUAAUCGAACCGAAUAGCGAAAUUCUAUGUUUCCAAUUUUUGUCAAUUUGACUCUCGUAAAGAGUGGUAAUAUUUUUUCAAGAUCAA
rnacentral:lncRNA from 1 species